GUUACAAGCCUCUCUGAAAAAAAUCCAUACAGGAUGGAAUGCAUGGCAUUUUCUCUGAAACUUCCUCCCUGUCCAGUGUUAUCUACCUUGGAACGAUUGUCUCAUUUAGAGGGACUCUCUAACCUGAGUACACAUUUGAAACAUCUGAGGGCUUUGAAACAUACCUGCUCCUGGACCACCUGCUGAACCAAUUAAAUCAGAAUUUCUGUUGUGAAGAUCUCCACGUGAGUUUAAGCUUUCCUGCUCAACUGUUAGUUCCAUGAAGGCAACAGCCAUGCCUGCUUCGUUCACUGAAAUAUCUUCGUUUCCUAACACACAGAAAGUCAUCAUUUUUUGACGGAUGAAAGAAUGGAUGAAUGCCUAGUCUUGGAGACAUCUACUUGCAAUAAAGGUGAAGAAACAGAGGCAAAGGGAGCAUAAGCAAUUUUCCAAAGGCCAUACAACAUGUAAGUGGCUGAGCCAAGACUGAAAUCACCAGGUUCUUAACCACUAGGCCAUAUUGCAUUGGAGUGUUGCCUCCUGGAGUAAGACUAGGCUAAAAGCUUCAUAGAAACCUAAAGGAGUUAGAGAAGGAAGAUCUCUCAAUGGAAAUGCUAAGAAGAGACACAAGGAAAGACACAUCACUAAGGAGAGACCCAAGGAAAAUGGCUCUAUGACUACAGUCCAUUUAAAGAAUGAGGGCGUUCCUUCUACCAAGUUACAGGUGGAGAUGUGUUUACCUGCUGGAUACCAAUGCUUCUAGCAUCAGGGAGAAGUUGAGCCCUGGAGGAAACAUUGCCUCUAAGUUUGUGUUCUGGGGCUCCUGAGGCUUUGGGGUACUGGGGCCAUGAUGUCUUUGCUGCUAUUUCUGCUGAAGCUUUAAAGCCAGCUGUGUGCCAGGUAAGAGUCUCUCGUUUCUUAAGAUGUCAUAGAGGCUUGCUUCUGCCUUUGUUGGAAGUCGCCUAACUGCCAGUUCUGAGAGAGGACAGUGGAGAACAAAUUGGAACGGCAAAUGCUACGCUGUUUUCAUCCCCAUCUCCUCUGAUUGCUGAAACAUUGCUAGUACAACAAACUUGUG
rnacentral:lncRNA from 10 species